rnacentral:antisense_RNA from 15 species
CUUUACGGUGGGCCGUGUGGGGACACCCGCGAGGGUGUGCCGGUUCCUACGGCCGGUCCGCCAACCCUGCACGGUCCAUCACCUC